UGUUCUUGAAACCCAAAGAAUUUGGCGGUAUUUUAUUUCUUUUUAGAGGAACCUGUCCUGUAAUUGAUAAUCCACGAUAGAAUUUACUUAUUUUUGUUUUCAUUUUGUAUACCUCCGUCAUCAGAGUAUCCUUUUAGGGUUUAAUAUUCUUAAUAUAAAAAAUAUUAUAUGUCAGGUCAAGGUGCAAUUUAUGGAUAAGUAGAGAUGGGUUACAAUAAGUUUAUUUAGACGGAGUAUUAUUUUUAAUAUUAAUAUGAAGGUGGAUUUAAAAGUAAAAUGAUCCUAUUUGUUUUUUUGACGUUAGCUCUAAAAUAUGCACACAUCGCCCGUCGCUCUUAUUUUAAAAUAAGAUAAGUCGUAACAUAGUAGGAGUACCGGAAGGUGUUCCU
rnacentral:rRNA from 1 species